AUUGAACGCUGGCGGCAGGCCUAACACAUGCAAGUCGAGCGGAUGAAGGGAGCUUGCUCCUGGAUUCAGCGGCGGACGGGUGAGUAAUGCCUAGGAAUCUGCCUGGUAGUGGGGGAUAACGUCCGGAAACGGGCGCUAAUACCGCAUACGUCCUGAGGGAGAAAGUGGGGGAUCUUCGGACCUCACGCUAUCAGAUGAGCCUAGGUCGGCUUAGCUAGUUGGUGGGGUAAAGGCCUACCAAGGCGACGAUCCGUAACUGGUCUGGGAGGAUGAUCAGUCACACUGGAACUGAGACACGGUCCAGACUCCUACGGGAGGCAGCAGUGGGGAAUAUUGGACAAUGGGCGAAAGCCUGAUCCAGCCAUGCCGCGUGUGUGAAGAAGGUCUUCGGAUUGUAAAGCACUUUAAGUUGGGAGGAAGGGCAGUAAGUUAAUACCUUGCUGUUUUGACGUUAGCAACAGAAUAAGCACCGGCUAACUUCGUG
rnacentral:rRNA from 1 species